UGCGGGGUAUAAUCUCGUGGUGCGCCGUUUUUUAAGCCCGUCGGAAAAGCGCAGUAUUCGGGUGGGAGUGACCCGAUUUUCCAGGUGCUGUCCGUCACCCCUUUCUUUGAUUAGGAAAGGAACUCCCUGACCCCUUGCGCUUCCCGAGUGAGGCAAUGCCUCGCCCUGCUUCGGCUCGCGCACGGUGCGCGCACCCACUGACCUGCGCCCACUGUCUGGCACUCCCUAGUGAGAUGAACCCGGUACCUCAGAUGGAAAUGCAGAAAUCACCCGUCUUCUGCGUCGCUCAGGCUGGGAGCUGUAGACUGGAGCUGUUCCUUUUCGGCCAUCUUGGCGCCUCCCUCAGCCCACAUGUGAAUCACAGCUUCUACUGCAUGCCCACUCCUUUUGCCUAAAUAUGCAGUUAUCAUCAUACAUCCAGAAUUGCCCUCUGAAAUAAUCACAGACUCCCACUGGCACAAAGAAGAACACAUCACCUAGUCUUGGAAAGAGGAGGAAGUAAGGAAAGUCUUCCAGGAGCCCGUCAGACUUUAAGAAAAUGGCAUCUUCUACUUCCUGUUCCUUGGGAUGCUUACUCUUGGAGCACAGCCACCAAGCUGUGAGAAGUGCAAUCCAUACGG
rnacentral:lncRNA from 1 species